GACGAACGCUGGCGGCGUGCUUAACACAUGCAAGUCGAACGGAAAGGCCCUGCUUUUGUGGGGUGCUCGAGUGGCGAACGGGUGAGUAACACGUGAGUAACCUGCCCUUGACUUUGGGAUAACUUCAGGAAACUGGGGCUAAUACCGGAUAGGAGCUCCUGCUGCAUGGUGGGGGUUGGAAAGUUUCGGCGGUUGGGGAUGGACUCGCGGCUUAUCAGCUUGUUGGUGGGGUAGUGGCUUACCAAGGCUUUGACGGGUAGCCGGCCUGUGAGGGUGACCGGCCACAUUGGGACUGAGAUACGGCCCAGACUCCUACGGGAGGGAGGAGGGGGGAGUAAUGCACAAUGGGCGGAAGCCUGAUGCAGCAACGCCGGGUGCGGGAGGACGGCCUUCGGGUGGUAAGCCGCUUUCGCCUGUGACGAAGCGUGAGUGACGGUAAUGGGGAAAGAAGCACCGGCUAACUACGU
rnacentral:rRNA from 1 species